AGAGUUUGAUCCUGGCUCAGGACGAACGCUGGCGGCGUGCCUAAUACAUGCAAGUCGAGCGGACAGAUGGGAGCUUGCUCCCUGAUGUUAGCGGCGGACGGGUGAGUAACACGUGGGUAACCUGCCUGUAAGACUGGGAUAACUCCGGGAAACCGGGGCUAAUACCGGAUGGUUGUUUGAACCGCAUGGUUCAAACAUAAAAGGUGGCUUCGGCUACCACUUACAGAUGGACCCGCGGCGCAUUAGCUAGUUGGUGCGGUAAUGGCUCACCAAGGCAACGAUGCGUAGCCGACCUGAGAGGGUGAUCGGCCACACUGGGACUGAGACACGGCCCAGACUCCUACGGGAGGCAGCAGUAGGGAAUCUUCCGCAAUGGACGAAAGUCUGACGGAGCAACGCCGCGUGAGUGAUGAAGGUUUUCGGAUCAUAAAGCUCUGUUGUUAGGGAAGAACAAGUACCGUUCGAAUAGGGCGGUACCUUGACGGUACCUAACCAGAAAGCCACGGCUAACUACGUGCCAGCAGCCGCGGUAAUACGUAGGUGGCAAGCGUUGUCCGGAAUUAUUGGGCGUAAAGGGCUCGCAGGCGGUUUCUUAAGUCUGAUGUGAAAGCCCCCGGCUCAACCGGGGAGGGUCAUUGGAAACUGGGGAACUUGAGUGCAGAAGAGGAGAGUGGAAUUCCACGUGUAGCGGUGAAAUGCGUAGAGAUGUGGAGGAACACCAGUGGCGAAGGCGACUCUCUGGUCUGUAACUGACGCUGAGGAGCGAAAGCGUGGGGAGCGAACAGGAUUAGAUACCCUGGUAGUCCACGCCGUAAACGAUGAGUGCUAAGUGUUAGGGGGUUUCCGCCCCUUAGUGCUGCAGCUAACGCAUUAAGUACUCCGCCUGGGGAGUACGGUCGCAAGACUGAAACUCAAAGGAAUUGACGGGGGCCCGCACAAGCGGUGGAGCAUGUGGUCUAAUUCGAAGCAACGCGAAGAACCUUACCAGGUCUUGACAUCCUCUGACAAUCCUAGAGAUAGGACGUCCCCUUCGGGGGCAGAGUGACAGGUGGUGCAUGGUUGUCGUCAGCUCGUGUCGUGAGAUGUUGGGUUAAGUCCCGCAACGAGCGCAACCCUUGAUCUUAGUUGCCAGCAUUCAGUUGGGCACUCUAAGGUGACUGCCGGUGACAAACCGGAGGAAGGUGGGGAUGACGUCAAAUCAUCAUGCCCCUUAUGACCUGGGCUACACACGUGCUACAAUGGACAGAACAAAGGGCAGCGAAACCGCGAGGUUAAGCCAAUCCCACAAAUCUGUUCUCAGUUCGGAUCGCAGUCUGCAACUCGACUGCGUGAAGCUGGAAUCGCUAGUAAUCGCGGAUCAGCAUGCCGCGGUGAAUACGUUCCCGGGCCUUGUACACACCGCCCGUCACACCACGAGAGUUUGUAACACCCGAAGUCGGUGAGGUAACCUUUUAGGAGCCAGCCGCCGAAGGUGGGACAGAUGAUUGGGGUGAAGUCGUAACAAGGUA
rnacentral:rRNA from 1 species